rnacentral:rRNA from 1 species
AUGCCAACCUUCGCGCUCACCGUCCUCCGUGUCCCAAAGAAGAUCCUCAGGGAGAUCGACAAGUGCAGGCGACGCUUCCUUUGGCGCCAAGAUGAAGAGAUCACGGGUGCCAGCUGCAAGGUCAACUGGCCGACGGUGUGUGCCCCCAUGGAGCAUGGAGGCCUAGGCAUCCCCGACCUGCACCGCUUCGUUCGAGCGCUCCGUCUUCGUUGGCUCUGGAUCGCCUGGCACCACCCGGAAAGGCCCUGGGUGGGCUCUGAACUGCCAUGCGACGAGGCGGACUGGGCACUCUUCUCGGCCUCGACAAAGGUGACGAUCGGAGAUGGGACACGGGCAUCCUUCUGGCGCUCCCCGUGGCUCGGGCAUGCAACCCUCUCCCAGCGCUUCCCCGAGCUCUUCACCCACUCUCAGAGAAAGCACCGAUCAGUCCACGACGCGCUCACCGACGACACCUGGAUUCGGGAUCUUGCCCACGGGCAAAAUCAGCACCUACUCGAGGACGUUCUAGCCUUGCACCGUGAGUUGCAACGAUCGGCGCCGCCCCUCCAACCAGGUGUGCCUGACGACCUGACCUGGAAGCAUUCAAGCUCCGGGACGUACUCGGCCAGAUCCGCAUACUAG